GCCAGUGUGGUGUAGUGGUUUGAGCAUUGGACUAUGACUCUGGAGAUCAGGGUUUGAUUCCCUGCUUAGCCA